UUAAUGCAGUAGUCCACCCCUGGAGACCAUGCGUCCUCUAGCCAGGCCCGUUAAACUGGAAAGGUUUGUCCGUAAUAUAACUGGGAAGCGCCUUGUGCGCGUAUGUCCUAGUCAUUAUUGUGAUACUCGGUUACUGGACGUUGCAGAAAAACUAUUCAGAAUAUGAUCGAGCACUGGAAGCCUGCACGUUGGAGCAGUGCGACUAGGCCGCGUCGGCCGGGACAAUGUGAUGGGCUGGUGGUAAACUCGGAUUGAUGCAGUGCUUCGUGAGGUGAUUGCACAUCCACACGUGGACGGGCGGAUGAAAGGUCCCCUGAUUUCAUGGCAGGGCUGGACUUGAGUGUGGCUGCACCUCUGCAAUAGCAGCACAGGGUUGGGCUGAGAUGUCUGAGAAAUGGACAUGGAUACUGUAAAUCACAAGGUGACACCGUGGCCUAUAAAUGACAAUGCUUUUGCAAUCCCUGAUAUUUAUUUUUGAACUGGAAAAUAAAACGUCUGUAUGAAUAAAGCAUUAGUGUACAAACUAAAA